rnacentral:misc_RNA from 1 species
GCAUGCAAAGGGUGGCGUGUACACACCCACUGACCCGCACAGAGACAGACACAGACCGGUGGCGCAUGUCGUAGCACGAGUAUAGAAGACCAAGCCCAAAAGAAAACAAAACGCUCUGCGUAGACGAACCACAUUCAGUUCCUGUGGCGCCCCCGGACGCGGCAAGCAGAGAGGGUGAGCGGAUCCAUCAACUCGCCCACUCGCUAGCCCACAGACACAUGCGUAUAGGUAAACAGACAGACACCGACACCGGUGAAACCCAUACACGGGCGCGAAGGGGCUCAGACAAACAAACACAGCAACAGAAAAUAAAUGGGUAGUAUUCACAAACUCACCGACGACGUGAUCAACCGUAUCGCAGCCGGUGAGGUGGUGCAGCGACCCAGCGCGGCCCUAAAGGAGCUGCUGGAGAACGCGAUCGAUGCGGGGUGCAGCCGUGUGCAGGUCGUGGCGGCGGAGGGUGGGCUCGAGGUUCUGCAGGUGUGCGACGACGGGAGUGGCAUUCACAAGGAAGACCUGCCGCUGCUCUGCGAGCGCUAUGCGACGAGUAAGUUGCAGACUUUCGAGGAUCUGCACCGGGUCACCUCCUUCGGCUUCCGCGGCGAGGCUCUCGCGUCUAUAUCGUACGUGUCACGAGUGACAGUGACCACACGUCGCCGCCAAGCGUGCGACAAGAGCGGCGAUAGCGCGUCCGGAGCAGGCUCGUGCUCAUCGUCCACUGCUGGAGCAGCGGUCGCGUGGCGCUGCCAGUAUCUAAAUGGAGCCCUCCUCGAGGACCCGCAGCCGUGCGCCGGCAACCCCGGCACCACAGUCCGCGUGGAGAAACUGUUCUACAACGUCCUCGUGCGGCGACGCUCGCUUCGUGCCUCGGAGGAGUGGGGGCGCAUCGUGGAUGUCGUGUCGCGCUACGCUCUCGCCUUCCCCGCGAUCGGGUUCACCUGCUACCGCGACAGGGCCUACAGCGGUGCCUCUGGCGGGGGCGGGUCUUCGACGGGCUCUCUGAGCCGGCUGGGAGGCGGCGGUAACGGCAGCAACUCAGCCGGUGCCCCCGCCCACCCGGGUGGUUCCGCUGCUGGCGGCCUCUGCUUCCCACCUCGGUCCAACACACGGCAGAACAUACGACUUUCGCACGGCACCCAGCUCGCCUCACACCUGCGCCUCGUGUACGCGUACAACGUGGAGACGGCGGCGACGCUGCCAUGCGGCGCAGAACCCGAUGCAGGCCCCGAAUCCCUCGCGUCGGAGGUGGAGGCGGAGGAUGACGCGCUCAGCGCAGACGACGAGCCGGGGCAGGUGCGGGCGUCAUCAUCUGCAUCCUCGUCCGCCAAGGCGUUGCCGUCGACGUUGUCUACGGCGUCCAGACAAAGUGCUGCCCGGGAGGCGCGUGUGUUUGCGCUGAUGGAGCAGCGUGCGCGGCGCGUGCGGGCGACUAGCGGCCCAGCCGGCGAGGGCCUCUUCACUCUCGUUGGCUACACAAGUGACCCCACGCUGGCCCAGCGCAAGCAGUACUUGUGCGUCUUUAUUAACCAGCGUCUUGUCGAGAGCGCCGCAAUACGCAAGGCGAUUGACGCCGUCUACAGCGGUGUCCUCACCGGUGGCCACCGCCCCUUCACCGUGCUUCUUCUCUCCGUCCCUACGGACCGGGUGGACGUGAACGUGCACCCGACCAAGAAGGAGGUGUGUCUCUUGGAUGAGGAUCUGAUCGUGUCGCGGGUGGCGGAGGUGUGUCGCGGGGCUGUGCUCGAAGCAGCAGCGGCUCGGCAGAUGGACAUGCUGAAGAUGCGCCACACCGCUGCCCUAGUACUGAGGCAGCAGUUGCCGAGCGCCGACGGUGUCGGUGCUGCAGACAACAGCGCGACAGCGGAGCUGAGUGGGAGCAGUAGCGAGCACAUACUGGAGAAGCUGCGGGAGCAGCAUCAGCGUGGUGCCCCGCUCGCCUCACCUCUCACGUCGUCACCCCUCGCAUCCACGGCAGCCGUGGCGCCGGCGGGAGCAGGGGUUGGCGGCGUAGGACCGAACGUCGUGGUGGCGCCGUGCACGAUGGUCCGUGUUGAGCCACAGAGGGGGGCACUAGACAAGUACUUCUCCCAGCGACUCGCCGCAGCUGCCGCGCCGGCGGCCACUGUGUUGGCACCUACCUCCUCUCCGCCCUCCUCGUCAUCGUUGCGCACCGCACAAGAGACACUGUCACGGGAAUCCGUGCCUACCCAGCUCCGCGCAGAGGCGGAGGAGCCGCUGAAGGAUGCGGAUAGGCGGCAGGAGUCAGCGAGCCAGCGCGCAAAGAAAGGAGACUCUGCCAACGGUGCGUCUCAGGCAACUGCCGCUUACGAAGCACCGUCGUGGGAGGCGGUUAUGGCCUCCCUGCACGGGCAACGUGCGCCUGCCACCAGCACCACCACUACCGCCGCCGACGAUGACAGCCAUGGCUUCCCUUUGGCGUCUCCUUCGCGGAAAGAGAUCUGCAGCGGCGAGAGGAACGACAUGGCAACACACGCAGUCCAGACCUCCCGCGAGGCAGUAGACAAAGGCGGCGAGGGCAAUGCUGGCGUUGCUGUUCCAGAUGUACUGCAGAUCACGAGGGAGCGCACAGUCAACAGGGGCGCCGGCGAGGCGGACUCUGCGAAGGUACGCGCCGCGCUACUUGAUGAGGAAAACGCAGACGGCUGCGACAACGACGAAGACGAGGAUGACGGCAUGCGCGAAUUCAAGCGUCAUCGGCGCGAGGUGCAUGAGCGAGCGCAGUUGCUGCAACGGGUCGCCGGUGGAGCUGCCGCUGCUGCAGCGAUGGACAAGGCUGCAGUGGGGCACGACGCGAGCUUCGCGGCGAUUCUCUCUCCAAGUGAUCACGUGCGCCCGCCGUCAGCAGCAGAGAUGGAGAAAGCGCAGCUGGCCGUGGCGCACAUGGGCGCAGUUGUUCGAGCUGCGGACAUGCUGCGAGGCGAAGCUGCCGCCGCAGACGCCUCGCACUUUGCGUACACGGUCGUCUCUUGCGAAGACAGCAACAUGGACGAAGGGAAGAGCCAGGCAGACGCCUCCACAAACGGUGCCCCAGCUGGUGUGACGGCGUCGCUGGUGGACGUCGCCGAGGUGCCUGCGCCAGCGCUGCUAUCGAGUGUGUCCAUGAUCGUGGACCGCCUUCUCGCUGACGCCAGCCCGACGGCGGAUAACCUCGUCGAUCAGCUCUCAUUUGUUGGCACUGUGGACUCGCGUGCCUUUCUGGCGCAGGCGGGGACCACGCUGUUAUGGUGCGACACCAUGGCGCUGGCGCGACACGCCGUCUUCCAGCGUAUCUUUCUUCGCUGGUGUCAGCCUGCGCUGCCGGCACCGCCGGUCCUUGCAUUCGCCACACCGGUUCGACUGGCGGAUCUGCUGCUGCUCGCGUUGGCUUACGACGGGCCGCACCUGCAGCCACCCUCAGCAACGCUGUUGGCGGUUUUGGAUGAGUGUGCGAAGAAGCGGCGGCAGCAGCAGGCAGUCGUGGCUGAAGGUGGCGCGGCUCAGCUAGCCACGAGUUCUCUGACAACGGAUGCGGUUCGGCAGAUGGGCGGUGCGACUGCGCGCGCGUGGCGAGAGGUACUGUUUACUGCUGACAUGGAGAGCAAAACCCUGAGCCCCAAUGACCUGCACACCGAAAGCGGCGCUGGCGGCGUCUUUGCUGCCUCGGAGUCAGUGCUACCACAGCCCGAGGGUGCCACGAUGCGCUACGUGCGGCGGCUGGUGCGCCGUCUUUGUCGUUGGCGGGGGUUGCUGAAGGAGUACUUCUACAUUGACAUCACCGCCGACGGGCUGCUCGUUGGGCUGCCCUACGGACUGAACCGGCACUGGCCACCGAGGAUGCGGGCUGUGCCUGUGAUGGUGUGGCUUUUGGCGGAGGCGGUGCCGUACCCCAGCGCUGCAGCUCCGUCUUCCUCUACAAUGAGCGGUGCAACUGAUCAGACGGGCCCAACAGGUGCCCCAUGGCAGAGCAACGAAGGCCGAGGUGCAGAGGAGGUUGUCGCGUGCGUUGCUACGCCCACAUCAUCGACAACCUCGCUGGCGCCGACCCAAACAGAGGCGACGCCCACCACGAUGCCGCAGCCCACCGCCAUGGGGGCAGAGGCAGACGGGGUUGCGCAGGAGGUAGCGUGCUUUACGGCGGUGGCGCGGCACAUUGCGGAGACGCUGUACGGGCUUCCACCACCACCUCCCAGCACACCGUCUACCUCUGCAGAAGGCCCUGAUGCUGCUACAGCUGACGUGGCCGCAGGGGCGACCGACACGGCGUCUGUGGCGCUUUGGCGAGAGGAGCUUGUACAACACGGGCUCCUCCCGUGCUUGAAGAACCCCCAGCUCUGCCGUCUACCGGACCAGUGCUUGCGGGAUGGCACGAUCCAGUCGUUGGUCUCCGUGGAGUCCCUCUACAAGGUGUUUGAGCGCUGCUGAGCGUUGGGAGGCGCAAAGGGAGUGAGGUGGGGCGGGGACGGGGUGAGAGGCCGGCGAAAGUGUCGGUGGAGUGCUGUGGGACGGCACACAAGGGGAACAAUGACAGUGAACGCGGGGACUUGGUGGCGGUGACCAUCGAUCUCUCUUUCAUGUGGUUUCCUGCCGCACCGACGGGUUGCUUUCGUGCGCUGUGUUGCCUUUCUGCAGUAUACAGAUACAUAUAUGUGUGUGCAUGUGCUAGUGGGUCGUGCUCUCAUCCCUUCUCCCUCGACCUCCAAUAGAGGCGCACGCCCUCACCUCCCUCCAUCUCACAUACACGCACUCACACCCUUACGUGUUACUCUAUGUCGUUGUGUGCACGUGCACGUCUCCUUAGCCUCUUGCCAGAACUCGGCUUUGAAGGGUUAGACCCACGUACGCACCCCAUGCACGCGUGUGCACACUCAAGCAUACGUGCAUGCAUGGGGCGCCUACAGAUAUCCAUACUUCGCGACAUCAGCGCUGCGCCGGUAUAUGCGCCGAUUCGCUGCCCCCCUCCCCCUUUGCGCGGUAUUCAAUCACAUGCAGUAGAACGACACGGUCAGACACAAAAACGAAGCUUGCUUCCUGUGUGCGUGCCUGUCUUGCAACACGUGCUUUAUGUGUGCUGAAGCGUGUGGGUGCUUGGGUGUGGUGUGAUGGCGACAAUGAGUGGCGGGGUGCUUCUCCCCUUCCUGUGCCGCUCGGCCUCAUCCGCUGCCGUC